rnacentral:rRNA from 1 species
GUAGGUGGCAAGCGUUGUCCGGAAUUAUUGGGCGUAAAGCGCGCGCAGGCGGUUCUUUAAGUCUGAUGUGAAAGCCCACGGGCUCAACCGUGGAGGGUCAUUGGAAACUGGGGAACUUGAGUACAGGAGAGGAAAGCGGAAUUCCACGUGUAGCGGUGAAAUGCGUAGAGAUGUGGAGGAACACCAGUGGCGAAGGCGGCUUUCUGGUCUGUAACUGACGCUGAGGCGCGAGAGCGUGGGGAGCAAACAGGAUUAGAUACCCUGGUAGUCCACGCCGUAAACGAUGAGUGCUAAGUGUUAGGGGGUUUCCGCCCCUUAGUGCUGCAGCUAACGCAUUAAGCACUCCGCCUGGGGAGUACGGCCGCAAGGCUG